GACGAGCUCUCCAAGCGUUGUUCGGAAUUACUGGGCGUAAAGCGCUCGUAGGCUGAUUGUUAAGUCAGGGGUGAAAUCCCGGAGCUCAACUCCGGAACUGCCUUUGAUACUGGCAAUCUCGAGUCCGGAAGAGGUGAGUGGAAUUCCUAGUGUAGAGGUGAAAUUCGUAGAUAUUAGGAAGAACACCAGUGGCGAAGGCGGCUCACUGGUCCGGUACUGACGCUGAGGAGCGAAAGCGUGGGGAGCAAACAGG
rnacentral:rRNA from 1 species